rnacentral:rRNA from 1 species
GCGCGAGUCAAUGGGUNUUGAAUAGGCCCAUGGGCGCAAUGAAAGCAAAGGGCGGCCUCAGCGCCGUCCGAGUUGGGAUCCCCCCUNUCGGGGGGGNGCACCAACGACCCGUCCUAUUCGGCUCGCCGAUUGGGCGGAGUUUGAGCGUACACGUUGGGACCCGAAAGAUGGUGAACUAUGCCCGGACAGGACGAGGCCAGAGGAAACUCUGGUGGAGGUCCGCAGCGGUUNUGACGUGCAAAUCGAUCGUCAGAUCUGGGUCUAGGUGCGAAAGACUAAU